GACUAAGCGUACACGGUGGAUGCCCUGGCAGUCAGAGGCGAUGAAGGGCGUGCUAAUCUGCGAUAAGCGCCGGUAAGGUGAUAUGAACCGUUAUAACCGGCGAUACCCGAAUGGGGAAACCCAGUGUGAUUCGUCACACUAUCAUUAACUGAAUCCAUAGGUUAAUGAGGCGAACCGGGGGAACUGAAACAUCUAAGUACCCCGAGGAAAAGAAAUCAACCGAGAUUCCCCCAGUAGCGGCGAGCGAACGGGGAGGAGCCCAGAGCCUGAAUCAGCAUGUGUGUUAGUGGAAGCGUCUGGAAAGGCGCGCGAUACAGGGUGACAGCCCCGUACACAAAAGCGCAUGUGCUGUGAGCUCGAUGAGUAGGGCGGGACACGUGGUAUCCUGUCUGAAUAUGGGGGGACCAUCCUCCAAGGCUAAAUACUCCUGACUGACCGAUAGUGAACCAGUACCGUGAGGGAAAGGCGAAAAGAACCCCGGCGAGGGGAGUGAAAAAGAACCUGAAACCGUGUACGUACAAGCAGUGGGANNNNNNNNNNNNNNNNNNNNNNNNNNNNNNNNNNNNNNNNNNGGGCGUUAAGUUGCAGGGUAUAGACCCGAAACCCGGUGAUCUAGCCAUGGGCAGGUUGAAGGUUGGGUAACACUAACUGGAGGACCGAACCGACUAAUGUUGAAAAAUUAGCGGAUGACCUGUGGCUGGGGGUGAAAGGCCAAUCAAACCGGGAGAUAGCUGGUUCUCCCCGAAAGCUAUUUAGGUAGCGCCUCGUGAAUUCAUCUCCGGGGGUAGAGCACUGUUUCGGCUAGGGGGCCAUCCCGGCUUACCAACCCGAUGCAAACUGCGAAUACCGGAGAAUGUUAUCACGGGAGACACACGGCGGGUGCUAACGUCCGUCGUGAAGAGGGAAACAACCCAGACCGCCAGCUAAGGUCCCAAAGUCAUGGUUAAGUGGGAAACGAUGUGGGAAGGCCCAGACAGCCAGGAUGUUGGCUUAGAAGCAGCCAUCAUUUAAAGAAAGCGUAAUAGCUCACUGGUCGAGUCGGCCUGCGCGGAAGAUGUAACGGGGCUAAACCAUGCACCGAAGCUGCGGCAGCGAACGUAUCACCCAAGACAACUUUACGGAGUUGACGAUUGACGGAGCGAAGCGACGUCAAAGCGUUCAUUAAAGUCGAGUUGGCUUAGGGAUACGUUCGUUGGGUAGGGGAGCGUUCUGUAAGCCUGUGAAGGUGUGUCGUGAGGCAUGCUGGAGGUAUCAGAAGUGCGAAUGCUGACAUAAGUAACGAUAAAGCGGGUGAAAAGCCCGCUCGCCGGAAGACCAAGGGUUCCUGUCCAACGUUAAUCGGGGCAGGGUGAGUCGACCCCUAAGGCGAGGCCGAAAGGCGUAGUCGAUGGGAAACGGGUUAAUAUUCCCGUACUUGGUGUUACUGCGAAGGGGGGACGGAGAAGGCUAUGUUGGCCGGGCGACGGUUGUCCCGGUUUAAGCGUGUAGGUGUGUGUUCCAGGUAAAUCCGGUUCACUUUAACACUGAGGCGUGACGACGAGGCACUACGGUGCUGAAGCAACAAAUGCCCUGCUUCCAGGAAAAGCCUCUAAGCAUCAGGUAACACGAAAUCGUACCCCAAACCGACACAGGUGGUCAGGUAGAGAAUACCAAGGCGCUUGAGAGAACUCGGGUGAAGGAACUAGGCAAAAUGGUGCCGUAACUUCGGGAGAAGGCACGCUGACACGUAGGUGAAGUGAUUUACUCAUGGAGCUGAAGUCAGUCGAAGAUACCAGCUGGCUGCAACUGUUUAUUAAAAACACAGCACUGUGCAAACACGAAAGUGGACGUAUACGGUGUGACGCCUGCCCGGUGCCGGAAGGUUAAUUGAUGGGGUCAGCGCAAGCGAAGCUCCUGAUCGAAGCCCCGGUAAACGGCGGCCGUAACUAUAACGGUCCUAAGGUAGCGAAAUUCCUUGUCGGGUAAGUUCCGACCUGCACGAAUGGCGUAAUGAUGGCCAGGCUGUCUCCACCCGAGACUCAGUGAAAUUGAACUCGCUGUGAAGAUGCAGUGUACCCGCGGCAAGACGGAAAGACCCCGUGAACCUUUACUAUAGCUUGACACUGAACAUUGAGCCUUGAUGUGUAGGAUAGGUGGGAGGCUUUGAAGUGUGGACGCCAGUCUGCAUGGAGCCGACCUUGAAAUACCACCCUUUAAUGUUUGAUGUUCUAACGUGGACCCGUAAUCCGGGUUGCGGACAGUGUCUGGUGGGUAGUUUGACUGGGGCGGUCUCCUCCUAAAGAGUAACGGAGGAGCACGAAGGUUGGCUAAUCCUGGUCGGACAUCAGGAGGUUAGUGCAAUGGCAUAAGCCAGCUUGACUGCGAGCGUGACGGCGCGAGCAGGUGCGAAAGCAGGUCAUAGUGAUCCGGUGGUUCUGAAUGGAAGGGCCAUCGCUCAACGGAUAAAAGGUACUCCGGGGAUAACAGGCUGAUACCGCCCAAGAGUUCAUAUCGACGGCGGUGUUUGGCACCUCGAUGUCGGCUCAUCACAUCCUGGGGCUGAAGUAGGUCCCAAGGGUAUGGCUGUUCGCCAUUUAAAGUGGUACGCGAGCUGGGUUUAGAACGUCGUGAGACAGUUCGGUCCCUAUCUGCCGUGGGCGCUGGAGAACUGAGGGGGGCUGCUCCUAGUACGAGAGGACCGGAGUGGACGCAUCACUGGUGUUCGGGUUGUCAUGCCAAUGGCACUGCCCGGUAGCUAAAUGCGGAAGAGAUAAGUGCUGAAAGCAUCUAAGCACGAAACUUGCCCCGAGAUGAGUUCUCCCUGAGACUUAGAGUCUCCUGAAGGAACGUUGAAGACGACGACGUUGAUAGGCCGGGUGUGUAAGCGCAGCGAUGCGUUGAGCUAACCGGUACUAAUGAACCGUGAGGCUUAACCU
rnacentral:rRNA from 1 species